rnacentral:rRNA from 1 species
AGUGAACGCUGGCGGUAGGCCUAACACAUGCAAGUCGAACGGCAGCACAGUAAGAGCUUGCUCUUACGGGUGGCGAGUGGCGGACGGGUGAGGAAUACAUCGGAAUCUACUUUUUCGUGGGGGAUAACGUAGGGAAACUUACGCUAAUACCGCAUACGACCUACGGGUGAAAGCAGGGGAUCUUCGGACCUUGCGCGAUUGAAUGAGCCGAUGUCGGAUUAGCUAGUUGGCGGGGUAAAGGCCCACCAAGGCGACGAUCCGUAGCUGGUCUGAGAGGAUGAUCAGCCACACUGGAACUGAGACACGGUCCAGACUCCUACGGGAGGCAGCAGUGGGGAAUAUUGGACAAUGGGCGCAAGCCUGAUCCAGCCAUACCGCGGGGGCGAAGAAGGCCUUCGGGUUGUAAAGCCCUUUUGUUGGGAAAGAAAAGCAGCAGGUUAAUACCCCGCUGUUCUGACGGUACCCAAAGAAUAAGCACCGGCGAACUUCGU